AUCUGUGCACUACACAUUUAACCGAUCAAACAUAUUGUAAGACUACGAAUUUCCAAUUUUAAAAUUAAUUACAUGGAUACGGAGUUACCACUUUGGUUUAAUUAACAUGAGUCUGUAAAUGUUUGCUGUCAAAAAAAAAAAAAAAUUAAUUACUAUUAAUUGUAAAGAUCUAUAUCAUUUACAUAUUAUUGUAGAAUCAUCUCCCAAAAAAUGCAAGAAAGUCCAAUCUAAAAACGUUUUGAAAUGCUUAGAUUUGUUUAAAAGCAAAUAUAACGUGUUUGACGUUACUUUCAAACUUUUUAGAUAUACUAACUGGGUAAUAGGAACCUUCAAACAAUUUCAUCAUCAAAACGUUGUCAAUAACACGUCGAUCAUGUCACCGUUUCUUCCUCUCAAGGAAAACGUUGAUGCAGCAUAGAUUUGAGAUAAAUAUGAAUUAUUUCUAUUUUGAUCAUUAUAUUUAUUUGUAUAAUUAUUUUAGUUAUUUAGAUAGAGGUUCUUAAAUUUAUCAUUAGGUGUUUGGUGUGAUUGACAAAAGUGUUUGGUGUUUAUCUUUUAUUUUUUGGUAUGAAGUGUUUGGUGUUUAUCUAGUUGUAGGAGUUUUCAUCUGUAAAAGGUUUUUGUAAUUUUAUUUCUUAUUCAGUUUAUUGAUACUGAUAUUUUAUUAAGAACUUUUUUUAAGAACAGAGAAGAAGAUUCUCGAUCAUUUUUUUCGGUAGCUUGUUUUGGUAGAUCGGUGAAUCCAGUAAGACAUUAAUUCUAAGGUAUUAUAGACUAAAUAAGAUUCAUUGCAUUAUCUAGAUUCUGCUAGUUCAAAUGUCCUAUCAAUUUUACCAUAAAUUUAGCGAAUUUAAAAGUUAAAGAAUUGUCAAUAACGAUGUUUGAACAAGAAAAUUGUAGCAUGUUUUUCUGAAACCCAUAUUUCAAAUAAAUAUUGUAGAUGCUUGUGCAUCAAUGUGUCAAGAACCAGAUUUUCAUAACAGAGUUUUGAAGCGAAGCCAAACACAAUAUACAGUUUAAAAUAUGACACAAAUCAGUAAAAUAAUACUCUUUUUGUUUCAAAAAGAUAAAUGUUUUAGAAAAAAAUUUGUUUCACAAAGAUAGAUAUUUUGUGUUUUCUAUGAAAAAAUUGUAAACUUAAAAAAAAAUUAAUUUUACUGAAUUACUAUUGGUUAAAAGAUAUUAAAAAUUAAAAAUUGAAAAAAACAAUACAUUUAUUAUAGUAAUUUAAUGUGUUUUUUUAAUAUGUGAAAAUGUUAUAAAGUCUAUUUUUAUUAAACGAAAGGAGUAAGUUAAUAUUUAUUUUAGAAAAUUUCGUAUAAAUAUAUAGUCCCACUAAAAUCAUAAAUUAAUAAUUUAUAUAUAUAAAUACAAACAAAAAAAUUGCAUAUUUAUUUUUUAUUCACAAUGAAGUUCAUUUCUAUUUUUUCUUUACACUUCAAUAUAUUUUGAUAAUAUUUAGUAAAAUUAUAUCUAAAACUACAUUUAUAUUAUAUAAAUCAUAUUUUCGUAUGCACCAAAUAGUAUAACAAAAACGAUAUAAAAAUCAAAAUACUUAAUUAAUAUAUAUACGCACGGAUAUAUUAGUUAAAUAUUAGAAAUUUUCUAAAUUAAGACAUUAAAUCUAAGGUAUUGUAGAAUUAAUAAGAUUCAUUGAGUUAUAGACUAAAUAAGAUUCAUUGCAUUAUCUAGAUUCUGCUAAUUCGAAUGUCCUAUCAAUUUUACCAUAAAUUUAGCGAAUUUAAAAGUUAAAGAUAUGCCAAUAACAAUGUUUGAACAAGAAAAUUGUAGCAUGUAUUUCUGAAACCUAAAUAUUGUAGAUGUUGCGCAUCAAUGUGUGACAAUCCGUCCCGUGGGAACUACCUGUUCUGUGGGCCCCAGGCUCACAGCACUGCAGCGCACCGUUCUCAACUCCUUUCUUAUGAGUUUUCUCUAACUCCAUAAUUAGGUUGUUGGUAGGCUUCGAACCCAGGACCUCACCCUUUAACAGCAUUCCCACAGGACAAGUUGUCACCAAUUGAACUGUAUAUGUGACAACCCGCCCCGUGGGAACUACCUGCCCCGUGGGCCCCAGGCUUACAGAACUGCAGCGCACCAACCCCGAUCCCUUUAUUAUGAGUUCUCAUUAACUCCAUAAUUAGGUUGUUGGUGAGCCUCGAAUCCAGGACCUCACCCUUUAACAGGAUUCCCACAGGACAAGCUGUCACCAAUUGAUCUGCAGGUCAAUUGGUGACAACUCAUCCUGGAGGAGUGUUGUUAAAGGGUGAGGACCUGGGUUCGAGUCUCACCAACAACCUAAUUAUGGAGUCAGAGAGGACUCAUAAUGGAGGGAUUGGGGUCAGUGCGCUGCAGCGCUGUGAACCUAGGUUCCUAGUAAGAGGAUGGAUUGUCACAAAAAAAGUCUUGUAACAUCCCGAGUUGUGAUAUACAGAAAGGCAUAAGAGAAUUGAUUUGGCUACCUAUGUCACCAAAGUUGAUUUACCUUUUCCAGAACACAUCCUAAAAGAACUACAGAGUUAAGCGUGCUUGAGCUGGAGUAGUGGAAGGAUGGGUGACCUAUCGGGAAGUGAUUCGCGAUAGCGUGCGAGUGAGGCCAAAGCACGGGGAAAGGUCAUGUGGUGAUUGCAGGGUCAGUAAACAAUGAUUUCGAGCCUUAGAAAAUUAACGGACCGACCGUCAGACGGGAUGGGGCCCACGGGCCGAGAGAGUGGGCGUGGGUGGCCCAUUAGCCGUGGACGGGUCGGGGCGUUAUAAGUGGUAUCAGAGCUGGUUAGCCAUCUCAGUUCUGACCUGAGAGGCGUCUUGAGACCUGUCAUGGGGUGCAACAAGUACGUUGCGUUCUAUGAGAGGGGGUGAAUUGUAACAUCCCGAGUUGUGAUAUACGGAAAGGCAUAAGAGAAUUGAUUUGGCUACCUAUGUCACCAAAGUUGAUUUACCUUUUCCGAAACACAUCCUGAAAGAACUCCAGAGUUAAGCGUGCUUGAGCUGGAGUAGUGGAAGGAUGGGUGACCUAUCGGGAAGUGAUUCGCGAUAGCGUGCGAGUGAGGCCAAAUCACGAGGAAAGGUCAUGUGGUGAUUGCAGGGUCAGUAAACAAUGAUUUCGAGCCUUAGAAAAUUAAUGGAUCGACCGUCAGACGGGAUGGGGCCCACAGGCCGAAAGAAUGGACGUGGGUGGCCCAUUAGCCGUAGACGGGUCGGAGCGUUAUACAAUGUGUCAAGAACCGGAUCUUCAGAACAGAGUUUGGAAGCUACGCCAAACACAAUAUACAAUAUAAACUCUAAUUAAUACACAAUAAAAUAAUAAAUACGUUAAAUUAAUAAAUUGCUUCGAUUUCAAAUUUGAGACGGUUUAAAAUGACGCAAAUCGAUAAAAUAAUAAGAUCAUAUUUAUUUUAGAAAAUCUUGUAUAAAUAUAUA